rnacentral:rRNA from 1 species
AGUAGGGAAUCUUCCGCAAUGGACGAAAGUCUGACGGAGCAACGCCCCGUGAACGAAGAAGGCCUUCGGGUCGUAAAGUUCUGUUGUUAGGGAAGAACAAGUACCAGAGUAACUGCUGGUACCUUGACGGUACCUAACCAGAAAGCCACGGCUAACUACGUGCCAGCAGCCGCGGUAAUACGUAGGUGGCAAGCGUUGUCCGGGAUUAUUGGGCGUAAAGCGCGCGCAGGUGGUUCCUUAAGUCUGAUGUGAAAGCCCACGGCUCAACCGUGGAGGGUCAUUGGAAACUGGGGAACUUGAGUGCAGAAGAGGAAAGUGGAAUUCCAAGU